rnacentral:lncRNA from 1 species
UAUGAAAUCAACAUAUAAUGAUUAAAUGAAAAAGAAAUAUGGUUUGGACUAACCUUGUCAUGUGGGACAGCCCGCCAGGAGCUUAUGUCUGGGACAGCCCCAUGGGCUUAUAUGUGGAUCAGUCGGCCAGGAGCUUAUGCCUGGGACAGCCGGCCAGGAGCUUAUACCUGAGACAGCCCGUCAGGAGCUUAUGCCGGACAGCCCCAUAAACUUAUAUGUGGAUCAACCGGCCA